UGCCAGCAGCCGCGGUAAUACGGAGGGUGCAAGCGUUAAUCGGAAUUACUGGGCGUAAAGCGCGCGUAGGCGGAAUGUUAAGUCUCAUGUGAAAGCCCUGGGCUCAACCUGGGAACUGCAUUCGAUACUGGCAAACUAGAGUAUAGAAGAGGCAAGUGGAAUUCCGGGUGUAGCGGUGAAAUGCGUAGAUAUCCGGAGGAACAUCAGUGGCGAAGGCGACUUGCUGGUCUAAUACUGACGCUGAGGAGCGAAAGCGUGGGGAGCAAACGGGAUUAGAUA
rnacentral:rRNA from 1 species